AAAAAAAGAAAGCUGUCAAGACCAUCCAGACCUGAAAAUACCUGAUAGGGGGAUGGGAAACAAAAACAUGACUUCUCACAGUAGAUCCUUAAUUGGUGAUCGAAAAUUGGUUUAAAAGUGUCCUAACUAAUCUUUUUUGAAGGGAAAGUCAGAAAUACAUUCAAACUCACAGUGUGUACCUCUGAGAGACAGUGGCUCAUUCAAGUAUCACUUAUCCAUUUGGGUCUUCAUUCAUUCACUCAUUCCCCAAAUCCUAACUGAGUACGUACUAUAAAACAGACACUUGCCAGGUAUUGGGGGAUGGAGGGUCUGAGUAGGGGUAAAGAUUAAUUAGGUAAUAAAAUCCAGAUUUCUUUUAAAAACAAUCAGAAAAUCUCACAAGGCUGGACCCACAUUCUCACACAAUAAUGAUUGCUGGCGCUGAGUCACUGGGGACCUACUAGGUGAAGCAGGAAUCCCUGAGUGCCUACAGCUCCCAUCCCCAAAGCUACAUCAUUACAGCAUUCCUUCAUGUUACCUACCUGUCAUUACCUAUGGACGUCUGAAUUCAUGAAUCUGAGCUCACGAAUUCUCAUUGAGAGAACCUUUCCAAUGAAAUACCCAUCGGAUGCCCUUUGCUGAGAGCCCGGAGUAGAACCAGUGCUAAAUUUCUAAGAGAGAGACAAAUACCUAAAUAACUCUAUUGCAAAAUAAAAGGUAUUAUCAGAAAGGGAAGGAUGAAAUGCUUUGAACAUUUAGGGGACAGGGAAAUUGUUUCUGGAGACUGGUACACAUCAGAAAUGGCUUCCUGGCAGAUGUAGCACCGAAUCUGGGACUUGAAUGAUUACAUUUUUUCCAUCAAUUCAACAAAUAUUUGCUAGAAGCCAGCUAGCCAGAAUGCUUUAUAGAAGAUGCACUCAGAAUUGGCUAGUUAUGAGGGAGCUGUUUGUCAACUGCUAAUUUUCUGUGGUUUGCUCUUCUUCCCUUUCCUUUUACAUUCACAAAUUGGGAAAGUUAAACUUGUAGAUCACUUUGGGGAUUGUCAAAGGGUGGCUUCUGGUAGAUACUGGUUUCUCCAAGCCAGGCAAACCUGCAUUCACUCAGCAUAUAUUUUCAAGUCUGGACUAUGUACCGUCCACUAUGACAGGAGUCAGAAAUACAGUGAUGAGUGCUGGCCCUGUCCCAUGUAAUUUACAGCCUUUUUGGAGAGAGAGGCAGUUUCAGUGACCUCACAAAUACAUGCAGGAGUGUAACUGUGAUGAGUACUGCAAAGGGAAGAGGGCCCUUGUUGCUAAAGGACUUAUAAGAGGAGUUGGCCAUGUCAGAAGGAUCAGGGAAGGCCUUACUGAGGCAUGAGGCUUCCUGGUGUGAAUAGCAGUUAACAGGUGGAGGGAGACCAGGUUCCAGGUGGAGGAAAUAACAUGUGUGUGGGCUCCUUUCCAGAAGAGCUGGAGAGAAGAGAGAUGAAAGGAAGGUGAUGCAGGAUGAAGCUGGAGGAGUAAGAAGGGGUUUGAUGAUAUAGCAGGCCCAGUCAAAGAAUCUUGUCUUUAUCCUAAGAGUCAAGAGAAGUUGCUGAGAAUUUUUAAGCAGGAAAGGGUGAUGAUCAUAUUUAUAUUUUGGAAAGAUCCUCCAACCUGCUCUCUGUGUUAAAACAGUUGAGUUCAUAUAUCUUCUGGCUGCAAUAAUGGGAAUGAACACAAGGCAGGACAGAGUACAUGGGGGGAGGCCGGUUAGCAAGCUAGUGUUGAGUUCAGAAGGAAGAUGAUGUUCUUUUGACUAGGAUGCUGGUGAUGGAGGGCAAUGAAAAAAUCUGAGAGAUAAAUAGGAGCUAAAUCAACAAUAUAAUGGGCUGAACAUGGAGGAGAAAAAAAGAAAAGAGUCAAACAUAUCUUCUAGGUUCCUCUCUGCCAUGCAUAAUUGGAUGGAUGGAAUACCAUUCACUAAAAUGAAUCACCACUUGGCUUUGUUCUAAGACUGCUGUGUACAGUUGUGUGAGUUGUGUACUACACCAGGGCAUCUGGCUAAUUAACAAAGGCAGAAGCUGAAAGUCAGCCCAUUCUCUGCUUGCCAAGACACAUAUCCCCAUGUAGGGUCAUGUCUACCCAGGUGGGAGGGGCAGCUUCUUAUAAUUUGCAAAAAAUAGCUAUCCAUUUGGCUAGAUAAAAAGUUAUACCUUUUAACCAGCAUUGCAGGCAUCCAAGAAGGCCCACAUAGGGUACUACGAGUGGGAGGGAGCACUAAAGGUGGUAAAGCCAGGGCCAGGAUACCUGGAUGGUAGAGACAAGGGCUGAAGAAGGUGAUGAGAAAAUGAGAGAGUGCAAAAAAUAUCAAGCUCAGUUUAUUUAUCCUGCAGUGGCUAUCUCUGGCAUUUCCUGGACUCCUGACCCACAGGGAGGGAUCCUGCCUGUGGCUCACCCUUCCUGUUAUUUUAAUUCUUUUGUUGGAUGCCUUUAAUGAAUGUAGACAUGGACACUCAUACAUCAGAGAGCAGAAGUACUUUAAGAACCAUCUAGCCCUACUCUUUCAUUACACGGAUGAGAACGCUGAGGUCCAGGGAAAUGGAAAGCUUUGCUCUGUCUCCUGCUGGGACAAGAUCCUUAAUCGCCUGAUUCCUCACAUCAUGCUGAUCUUUCCUCUAACAAGAAAUUGACUGAGCUUUCACAGACAACGAGGCAACACCUGAAAGAGCAAAGAUACCAAGUCAGAUUCAUCUGAGUUUGGAUCUCUGCUUGCCAUUCUUUGUUGUGUGAUUUUUGACAAGUUACUUAAUCUCUCCAAGCUUCACUUUCCCCACCUGUAAAAUGAAGAUUAAAAACACCUUGAAGGUGGGCUGUGAGGAUUAACGUAAAGCCUUUGGGAUAGGGUCUGAUAUUCACGAGCCACCAUCUAGACCACAUUCUCUACUUAUGUUGACUUCUCCAGCCCCUGUCUCUUCCCUACCCUUUCUCUAUUCUCAAAGGGUUUGCAGGGAUUCUGCAGAAAAUUUAUUCUUUGGAAAUUCUUUGUGGAACUCAACACAAAUUCAGCAUAUCAAAUAAACGAAAUAUUAAGAAAUGACUCUACCUUUUCCCCUAACCUUUCACUUAGGGUUCUGAUCCCUAAGAUGCAAAUGGCAAUUAACCCUGCACCCCACACUAGCCCUCUACCUCUCCCUAUGAUGACUCUGCACAGAUCUCAGGAAGCUUUAUGUGAAAAUAACACCUUGGAACUAGAAGCAGAAGGAACUAGAGAGGUUUCUGCUGGAAGCAUAAUAUAAAAGCCAGUUUUGAAGAAGGCGGGGGGUGGUGGGGGCUCAGAAAAAUGAGCGAUUACCAGAAGGAACUUUUUUUCUCCCAACAUGAUUUUUGAUGGCUCAUAGUUACUUUCAUUUGUUCCGUGACUUUGAGAGGCUGACAAAUAGCAGCCUCAUUCUGAAUGCCUAUUGUUACUCCUGAGGUUUUAUGUAGAGUAGAAAAGAUUGUUUUGAACGUUUCUCAUGGACAAGUGGAAGCUGUACUCUUGCUACAAAUGAUUCAUGUGGGAGAAAUGAUAUAUAAACAAGAUUGCCUGCUUGGAGAGUGGAUGAGAGGGUGAGUUAUUUCAGAAGGGCUCUUCACUUUCAUGCCAGCAAAUGAUAAAAGCUAGCUCUCAGAAUGGCAGGGGUGCUAUGGAAUGGAGGCUUCAGAAACUUUUUGACUCUUACAUUUUAUAGUCAAUGUCAAAAAAAUGUAUUAUAAAUUUCUGACUAAGUCCAGUUACUUUUUCAUGGUGAUGUAGCAAUAGGUUGAUUCAACCUUGGGCCUUGUCCUGUCAGUGUGUUGAGGCUGAAAGAGCCUGGGUUCUGGAAGCUGAGCCUCUGGGGUAAGGUAGGUGCCUAAGGGGCAAAAUUUCAGGAGGCACCUACUCUCAGGGUCAUACAGGCACAGAGUCAGCACUUGCACAAUCCUGUAAGUGAGUGCCUCCUUAAAUUUUGCCCUCUGGGUCACCCUCUUUUCUCACCCAAAUCCGGGCCCUGGAAUUGAAUUAGAAUCAAGACUCCAUCACUUAUUGGUGGUGCAACUUUAGGGAAUCAGUUAGGAUUAGUCUUGGCUAUAACAGAAAAAAGCCAAGUGAGAGUGGCUUAUUUCUCUAUUACAUAAAAAUCUAGAGCAAUACAGGACAGGGCUGGCAUAAUGUCCCCAUUGCAUAAAGUCAUCAGAUCCUAGUUCCUUCCAGUGCACUUUUCUGCCAUUCCAAGGGUUUUGCCUUCAUGAUUCAAAAUGACACAUCCACAUUCUAGGCAGCAGGAUGGAGGAAGGUGACUAAACCAUGUGACUAUAUUACUGAUUUUUAAAAUAUAACAAAAUUAUAAUUAUAAACAUGUAGAAUAGAUUGUAAAAGCCCAAACAAUACAAAAAUAAAAUAUAUUUUUGGAUUGUUAAAUCACCUAUAAUUGUUAUUUCUAUCAGCCCCACUCCAAAUUCCCAGCCUAAGCAUCUAGUUUAUUGCAACUAUUAAGGACUGAGCCAGUCUUGAUUCCCACAAUUGAAAAUGUUUUCAGAAGGAAUUAUUCUUAUGGAAGCUCAUAAAAUGUUCUUAAACCCAUAGGUUUGAAAAUAAGAAAAUUAUCUAGAGUGGAGUGGUAGACAGCUGAGUUAUCUGCCUGCCCAGCACUCACUUCCCAUUCUGGCAGGCAUACUUCAAUUUUGGUUUGGGGAACAAACUACCAGGUUCCUUUGCUUACAGACUUGGUAGAAAUUGUCAUUUGGGCUACAGAUGGGAAGACGUAGAAAUGUAACUCAAACUAGGACCAUAAUAUCCCUCUCUCUUCGAAUAAUUUGUCUCUUGGAUAUGGUUAAAAAGCAUAGACAUAUGACUGGGGAUCAUUUUCUCUAACAGAGACAUGGAACUCAAACAAAUUCCCUGAGCUGCUUUGGAUCCUGUUCUUUCUGAGGCCUGAUACUUCAGCGUCUUCAAAUCUAAUUUGCAAUGCCCCAUAUCCUUCCAGUACACCUCUUCUAUUUAAGUUACCUAGAGUCCAUUUAUGUUGCUUGCAAUCAAGAACCCUAACUGACAAAAGAAGCUAUUCACUUUUCUACCCAAAUAUUUGAAAUUAUACAGGUUGGUCUCUCCUACCUUGUUAAUUAUACCUGUUUUCUUCUCCAGCUUUUCCCAGGUGAGGCCAUUAAUGCCUCCACCCAUAGGCUUAACCCUGCCCUGUUUCUGAGCCAACUCUAAAGUGAGGAAUAGGACUAAAGAGGUGGUGGGUGAGUUGCAUGCAGGAUACCAAAGGAUAAAUCCUGGGGGCUUCCAGAAGUUCCAGAGGAAUUACCUAGAAGGCAUCAUUCCAAGGAGGAAAGAGGCCAAAGCAUCACAUAGACUUCAUAAAACAAGGGACCUUGCCUAUCUUAUUCCCCACUGUAUCCCCAGUACAAAAAAUUAUGUCUGGCUCAUGGUAAGUACUCAGGAAGUAAGUAGUCAGGCUGAAUAAAAGAGGGAAAAAGCAAUGGCAGUAAGAAGGGCUGAGAUUUGUGGGGAUAGAAAUCAAGUGAAGAGGUGAGGUGACAUUGCAGAGAUGGAGUGAGGUCAGUGAGUAGAAAGGGGAAAGAUGCAAAGUUAAGAGUGCAAGAGAUGCUGACUUUUACAGGUGCCAACCGAGGCAGUCACUGGGACAAUUUCUGGUCUUUCACAAUAUUUUCUUGAAUUAUCUUCUCUGCCAAUGACAUCUCUCAAACAAAGUUAACCUCAGGAAAACCUAUAGCUGCCAUAUUCUGCCUCUUUGCCUGCCCUCCUUCCUUCUCCCUGCUGGCUUGGCCCAGCCCAGCAGAAUGACAUUUUGUGUUGGUCCUUCCUCUUGAGUGUUGACCAUUUCCCUGUCUUAAUCCCUAACCCAAGGCCUGGUGCUCUUAUAACCUGCUGUGCUCUUCCAUGUUCUCCCUACUAAGAUGAGAGACUCAUCAAUUUCCCUGACAGGUCCCUGAGAUGCCGUCACCAAAGUCUGGUUUCUUAAAUGAUGACCUGGUUAAUACAAACAAGAAUGAAAAAAGACCCCCACAACUAACAUAUAUCGGGCACUUACAAAGAUCAGGUCCUGAGCAGUGCUUUUAACUUUUGUACAGUACUCAUCACAAACCCAUGAAUUAAAUAUUAUUUUGGUAUGAACUGCUAGUUGCCUACCCAGUAUUCAUUCUCCCAUUCACAGAUGUUAAAGACUACAUUUCCCAGCUUUCCUUGCAACUAGGAGUAGCCAAAGAAUAUAAAUAGAAGUUGCUGGGUAAGCUUCAGACAAAGCUCUUUAAUGCUGAUAGGGUGCCUUUUAUUGCUGUGAAAUAUUGGCUGCAGUGUAGACAUGAUAGCUGGAGGGCACCUUGUAACCAUGAAGUAACUUUAGGAUGGAAGCCAUAUGCGAAGAAUGGUGGAACAGAAACAGAGAAGGAGCCUAUGACCCUGAUGGCUGUGGAGCUGCUACAGUGCCUUCCUCCAGACUUUUUAUAACAGGCAAAAUAAAUCUCUAACUCCUUAAAGCCAUUAAAAGAGUUAUUUAGCUGCUCUGUUUUAUGCAAUGAAAUCCAAUUCUGAUCGAGUUAAUUAUUGCCCUGUGGGGCAGGCAUAUUUAGUGUUCCCCAAAUAUCUACCACUCUUCCACAUUUCCCAGUCUUAAUUGCAGUUGAGUUGGGCCAUGUGUCUUAUUCUGACCAAUGAGCUCCAAGCAGAAAUUACAUACAUUGCUUGUGUGCUGAGGCACCUAGGAGCCAGUAUAACUUCUCCAGCUCUCUCUUUCUUGACACAGUAACAUUGGAAGCCAUAUGAUGAGAUAGUAGUGUCACGAGAUAGAAGAAAAUGGGAUCUCUAAGUCACUGGAUGUAGGAGGAUUCCCACUGACUUGACUUUGGUGAGUUCCCUGAGCCAAGCACUCCGCAGCUCCAUCGCAGCGUGGGCCUCUUGGAAAUUCGGUGCUAGUUCUCAAGGCCUCCUACCUGCUGAACCUUAGUCUUCAUUGCUGAAAUAAGAGCUGUCCUGCAAACAGAGUUUGGCGCUCGCUUUCUGGCCUCCGGCUGGUGGAGCAAGGACGUUUCCAGCACAUAAGAUUCCCCACUCUGUUAAAAAAAAAUGUGUUUAUACUUGGUCCCCUCUGAAGGCGGACGACACCCAUACUUUUGUCCCAGCCCAAUUUGCUGGCUGGGAUUUUUCUCAUCCUUUAAAUCCCGGGAAGCAAGGAACCUGCCCUCUGGCGCCAUCUACCGGCACUGUUUUUCGAGUCCAAGGAGCCCCCUGCGGAGUUGGGAUGUGUUUAGUAAUUGAUUGGAUGAAUCCUGCCACUUCGUUAGUAGAUUCUUAUUUUCUUCACGGACUCUUUACUAAUUAGUAAAGAGAUUAUAUAGCAAAUAUAUUAUCUUACUUUAAAGAGACCAGAGUCUCCUAUCUCUCGCUUCCCCCACCCCAUCAGUUGUGGCAUUCCUUCAUCUUUAAUUUCUUCCUUCGAAAAAUAUUUAUUUUGUUAUUGUAUAGAGAUCAGGGCAUGGGCCACACAGCUGCACACCUGAGCAAACAGAGGGGCUGACUGAUUUGCUGUUGUAAUGAAAAACAUUAGUUUUGGGUUCAUUACUGUGAUUCCACAAUGGGCACCAAAUCCCACUUAAGACCCACCGAAGAAGUCUUCAAAGGGACACGGUUUCAGGUCUGUGCCUGGUGAGCGUGCUGCCUCUUCGAAUCUUUGCACAGAAAUAACCUACGGUUGAAGACUCAGACCUGUCAGAUCAAAACCAACCCUGGCCUCCAGACCUUGAAACAAGUCAAAACAGUGAACCUUACUCAUCCGUUUUCAAAAUAUGGCCUGUUUUCUUUACAAAAUGCAGCAAAGCCUCUCAGAUGGGCGCUGGCUGCAAUAUUUGAUAUAUUAGGGAGAAUCCUGACUCCUUCCAGGUUUCUGCCCAUCUGUUUUAAAUCCAAAUGGCUUGGCAGAGGAUGGUUUUUAGUUAUGUAUUUUUUUCAUUUCAAAUGGAAUUUAAAACAGCAGGGGCAGAAAGCCCAGAUAUGGAUGAGAGAGAAAAUAAAAAGGCCCCUGUAAUUCCCCAUUCGCCUUCUACAUGAAGGAAAAAAUAUCGGCAUUUGUUGUAAACCUACUAUGUGUCAAGGUAUCACUAGGGAGUGUGAUGUUGCUGAGCCAUUGGAAUUUUAUAAAAUUUUAAAUGUUUUUCAUUUUCUUCUUCAGAGGUGGUUUGAUUUCAUGAUCAAGAGCUUGAACUUAAAGUCAAAUCCUUCUCCUGCCUCCUGCAGUCAUGGGGCCUUAGCUAUUCUCUGUAAUGACUCUAGGUCUCAGUUUCCUUGCCUGAGAACAGGCCUGUGAUAAUUACCUUGAUGGGCUAUUGUCAGUUUUAAAUAAGGUAGUGCAGAGGCAACUACCACAGGAAUGGUUCUGCCUUAAGAAUGAACUACGUGUGCAUGUGUCUUUAUAGCAGCAUGAUUUAUAGUCCUUUGGGUAUAUACCCAGUAAUGGGAUGGCUGGGUCAAAUGGUAUUUCUGGUUCUAGAUCCCUGAGGAAUCGCCACACUGACUUCCACAAUGGUUCAACUAGUUUACAGUCCCA
rnacentral:lncRNA from 10 species